CUGGCUCCUAGCACAACAGCACGGGAGGCUGAGCAAGUGCAUCUCCUAAAGCUCAGCAAAGCCUUCCAUGCUUCAGCUUGGGGAUGUAAGAUAUAUAAGUACUACAAAGCAUCCGGGAGCCUGAUAUUCCUAUAUGCUAUUUGUCACAAAAGUGCAUCUGGUUGUUUCACAGCGCACUGAUGUGGCAAAGGUAUCUUCCUCAAUGGGAUAUCUACAAGCAGCAAGUGUCCUAGUCCAAAAAUCAGGGUUUUUCAAGCCUUUGUGCUCUACAAAUAUCAAUAGUAUUGCAUCCUGUUUCUUUUCAGCUGAUCAAUUCUCCAUAAACACAGUGCUGUGCUGAGGGAGAAGCACUGAAGCAUGAAAACCCUCUUUUUUCCUGGAUACUCCAUGUGAUUUCUCAUCUGUGAGGCAGGAUUGAUGACUUAUUUAUCCCAUUUUUUCUUCAAAAGCAUUCUCUAAAAUGACUCAGAUACUUCUUGUAUAGUCAUUCGAAAUGGAAAAUUCUAUUGUGCUCAGAAUUAGAGAAGGUUUUCACUCCUGUUUGAAGAACCAUAGCUCUGAUACAUGGAAAGGACGCUUUAUGUUGUACAGACAGUGACAUCAGAGUUGCACUGGACUGAAAGCAAGUGUAAAAUGAUGAAAUUCUAUCUACAGUUUUUCUUCCAGUUUUAGAAAAAGAUAAGAUUCUGGCUUUCCUUACACGUGUAUCGCUUGGCUGCACUCAUUGCAAAGGAGCCCUGCGAGGAAAGAUGCUGGGUGGAAACGGAUAGAACGUGGUCAGGAGAAGGAGCAGAAUGGUUUCCUGCCCCACAGCACAGCCCUUCCCUCACCAGGAGCUGAGCACACCAGCAUGGAGUGAUGCAGUGAGCACUGUCUCCUGUCCUCUGCAGGACAAUUUGCCCAGUUCCUCUCAGGAAGAGAAAGCUUGCAGAGGGAAUGUCUGCAGGUUUUCUGCUUCUAAUGCUUCUCUCACCUGGGAGUGAAACAAUUAGCAGCGGGCAAAAACAGCAACAGACUUCAAGUAACCCGCUCACCAGUAAGGCAAGAUCCACAAUCUGUUCCCAGCAACCCGUGGUUAUGGCACCCAGACGAGCAGAUGGUGGUAACAGCCAGGCCAUGGACAAGAAAAUAAUAGAAGUUUAA
rnacentral:lncRNA from 1 species